UGCAGAUGAUGUAAAUGAAUAUUUGCUAUCUUAUACACCACUGAUGACAAUUUUUCCACCAAGAUCGCUGAUGCA
ensembl:snoRNA SNORD24 Small nucleolar RNA SNORD24